rnacentral:rRNA from 4 species
UUAAGCGACUAAGCGUACACGGUGGAUGCCCUGGCAGUCAGAGGCGAUGAAGGACGUGCUAAUCUGCGAUAAGCGUCGGUGAGGUGAUAUGAACCGUUAUAACCGGCGAUUUCCGAAUGGGGAAACCCAGUGUGUUUCGACACACUAUCAUUAACUGAAUCCAUAGGUUAAUGAGGCGAACCGGGGGAACUGAAACAUCUAAGUACCCCGAGGAAAAGAAAUCAACCGAGAUUCCCCCAGUAGCGGCGAGCGAACGGGGAGGAGCCCAGAGCCUGAAUCAGUGUGUGUGUUAGUGGAAGCGUCUGGAAAGGCGCGCGAUACAGGGUGACAGCCCCGUACACAAAAAUGCACAUAUUGUGAGCUCGAUGAGUAGGGCGGGACACGUGGUAUCCUGUCUGAAUAUGGGGGGACCAUCCUCCAAGGCUAAAUACUCCUGACUGACCGAUAGUGAACCAGUACCGUGAGGGAAAGGCGAAAAGAACCCCGGCGAGGGGAGUGAAAAAGAACCUGAAACCGUGUACGUACAAGCAGUGGGAGCCUCUUUAUGGGGUGACUGCGUACCUUUUGUAUAAUGGGUCAGCGACUUAUAUUCUGUAGCAAGGUUAACCGAAUAGGGGAGCCGAAGGGAAACCGAGUCUUAACUGGGCGUUAAGUUGCAGGGUAUAGACCCGAAACCCGGUGAUCUAGCCAUGGGCAGGUUGAAGGUUGGGUAACACUAACUGGAGGACCGAACCGACUAAUGUUGAAAAAUUAGCGGAUGACUUGUGGCUGGGGGUGAAAGGCCAAUCAAACCGGGAGAUAGCUGGUUCUCCCCGAAAGCUAUUUAGGUAGCGCCUCGUGAAUUCAUCUCCGGGGGUAGAGCACUGUUUCGGCAAGGGGGUCAUCCCGACUUACCAACCCGAUGCAAACUGCGAAUACCGGAGAAUGUUAUCACGGGAGACACACGGCGGGUGCUAACGUCCGUCGUGAAGAGGGAAACAACCCAGACCGCCAGCUAAGGUCCCAAAGUCAUGGUUAAGUGGGAAACGAUGUGGGAAGGCCCAGACAGCCAGGAUGUUGGCUUAGAAGCAGCCAUCAUUUAAAGAAAGCGUAAUAGCUCACUGGUCGAGUCGGCCUGCGCGGAAGAUGUAACGGGGCUAAACCAUGCACCGAAGCUGCGGCAGCGACACUAUGUGUUGUUGGGUAGGGGAGCGUUCUGUAAGCCUGUGAAGGUGGCCUGUGAGGGUUGCUGGAGGUAUCAGAAGUGCGAAUGCUGACAUAAGUAACGAUAAAGCGGGUGAAAAGCCCGCUCGCCGGAAGACCAAGGGUUCCUGUCCAACGUUAAUCGGGGCAGGGUGAGUCGACCCCUAAGGCGAGGCCGAAAGGCGUAGUCGAUGGGAAACAGGUUAAUAUUCCUGUACUUGGUGUUACUGCGAAGGGGGGACGGAGAAGGCUAUGUUGGCCGGGCGACGGUUGUCCCGGUUUAAGCGUGUAGGCUGGUUUUCCAGGCAAAUCCGGAAAACCAAGGCUGAGGCGUGAUGACGAGGCACUACGGUGCUGAAGCGACAAAUGCCCUGCUUCCAGGAAAAGCCUCUAAGCAUCAGGUAACAUCAAAUCGUACCCCAAACCGACACAGGUGGUCAGGUAGAGAAUACCAAGGCGCUUGAGAGAACUCGGGUGAAGGAACUAGGCAAAAUGGUGCCGUAACUUCGGGAGAAGGCACGCUGAUAUGUAGGUGAAGCGACUUGCUCGUGGAGCUGAAAUCAGUCGAAGAUACCAGCUGGCUGCAACUGUUUAUUAAAAACACAGCACUGUGCAAACACGAAAGUGGACGUAUACGGUGUGACGCCUGCCCGGUGCCGGAAGGUUAAUUGAUGGGGUUAGCGGUAACGCGAAGCUCUUGAUCGAAGCCCCGGUAAACGGCGGCCGUAACUAUAACGGUCCUAAGGUAGCGAAAUUCCUUGUCGGGUAAGUUCCGACCUGCACGAAUGGCGUAAUGAUGGCCAGGCUGUCUCCACCCGAGACUCAGUGAAAUUGAACUCGCUGUGAAGAUGCAGUGUACCCGCGGCAAGACGGAAAGACCCCGUGAACCUUUACUAUAGCUUGACACUGAACAUUGAGCCUUGAUGUGUAGGAUAGGUGGGAGGCUUUGAAGUGUGGACGCCAGUCUGCAUGGAGCCGACCUUGAAAUACCACCCUUUAAUGUUUGAUGUUCUAACGUUGGCCCGUAAUCCGGGUUGCGGACAGUGUCUGGUGGGUAGUUUGACUGGGGCGGUCUCCUCCUAAAGAGUAACGGAGGAGCACGAAGGUUGGCUAAUCCUGGUCGGACAUCAGGAGGUUAGUGCAAUGGCAUAAGCCAGCUUGACUGCGAGCGUGACGGCGCGAGCAGGUGCGAAAGCAGGUCAUAGUGAUCCGGUGGUUCUGAAUGGAAGGGCCAUCGCUCAACGGAUAAAAGGUACUCCGGGGAUAACAGGCUGAUACCGCCCAAGAGUUCAUAUCGACGGCGGUGUUUGGCACCUCGAUGUCGGCUCAUCACAUCCUGGGGCUGAAGUAGGUCCCAAGGGUAUGGCUGUUCGCCAUUUAAAGUGGUACGCGAGCUGGGUUUAGAACGUCGUGAGACAGUUCGGUCCCUAUCUGCCGUGGGCGCUGGAGAACUGAGGGGGGCUGCUCCUAGUACGAGAGGACCGGAGUGGACGCAUCACUGGUGUUCGGGUUGUCAUGCCAAUGGCACUGCCCGGUAGCUAAAUGCGGAAGAGAUAAGUGCUGAAAGCAUCUAAGCACGAAACUUGCCCCGAGAUGAGUUCUCCCUGAGACUUUGAGAGUCCUGAAGGAACGUUGAAGACGACGACGUUGAUAGGCCGGGUGUGUAAGCGCAGCGAUGCGUUGAGCUAACCGGUACUAAUGAACCGUGAGGCUUAACCUU